UGGGGGAUAUUGCACAAUGGGCGAAAGCCUGAUGCAGCGACGCCGCGUGGGGGAUGAAGGCUUUCGGGUUGUAAACCUCUUUCGCUAUCGAACAAGGCCCGCUUAGGGUGGGUUGAGGGUAGGUGGAGAAGAAGCGCCGGCUAACUACGUGCCAGCAGCCGCGGUAAUACGUAGGGCGCGAGCGUUGUCCGGAAUUAUUGGGCGUAAAGGGCUUGUAGGCGGCUUGUUGCGCCUGCUGUGAAAACGCGGGGCUUAACUUCGCGCGUGCAGUGGGUACGGGCAGGCUUGAGUGUGGUAGGGGUGACUGGAAUUCCAGGUGUAGCGGUGGAAUGCGCAGAUAUCUGGAGGGACACCGAUGGCGAAGGCAGGUCACUGGGCCAUUACUGACGCUAAGGAGCGAAAGCAUGGGUAGCGAAGAGG
rnacentral:rRNA from 1 species